UACAGAGGGUGCGAGCGUUGUCCGGAAUCACUGGGCGUAAAGGGCGCGUAGGUGGUGGCUUAAGCGUGCGGUGAAAGCUCGGGGCUCAACUCCGAGUCGGCCGUGCGAACUGGGCUCACUGGAGCAUAGUAGAGGCAGGUGGAAUUCCGGGUGUAGCGGUGGAAUGCGUAGAGAUCGGGAAGAACAUCAGUGGCGAAGGCGGCCUGCUGGGCUGUUGCUGACGCUGAGGCGCGACAGCGUGGGGAGCAAACAGG
rnacentral:rRNA from 1 species